rnacentral:lncRNA from 1 species
UUCCCCACCUCAGCUAUCCCAACGUCAAUCUUCUCCACAUCAACUGCUCUCACCCCCACAUCUUCCCCUACACCAUUCCAUCCCCACAUCCUCCAUCCUCCCCUGCACCUUCAACCAGCAUGUUCAGCCUGCUUCUCACCUUCCAUCCUUACCCCAGGCCUCCUUCAAGACCAUAAUAUAUUUACCCUUUCAUUUCCUCAGUUCUCAGUGGAAUUAUUUACAUGGUCAAAUAUUUCUAUACUUUUAAUGAUGAUUUUAUUUUUAUUUUGCAGAGUUUGAGAAGCUGUUAAUUGCCUUCUACGAGUCGUGUCCACAGCCAGGGCGUAAAAUCUUUAAUCCUGUAUCCAUACAAGAGUAAUCCUGUGUUAUACAUAGCAGGAUAUGGUGUUACGUAUAAUGAUUCCCGUGUAAAUGAUCCUUCCAUUCACAGUGUUUGGGGCAUAGCACUGUGCUCCUGUGAGUCAGAACAGCUCCCGUGAGAGCUGAGACUCACGGAGACUGAGACAAGAGACUCACCCUUGUGAGUCAACCGUGAGUCAGAUUCCAAUCUUUCUUUAAAUCUUUGAGUCACAGUGUAAGUAUUUUUCUAGUCGCGUGCUGUAAUUCAAGAUGGCCGUGUUCGCUCUUCCCAUGUUCUAGAAUCUAGAUUAUAGUCGUCAUAAUUCUUAUUGUCAUUAUCUUAAACUCCUGUAUACAGUGUCUUAUCCUAGGAAUACAAGACAGUAGUAUAAUUCUGGACGAUGUCCGUAUUCAUGACUUAAACAAUAUCCUAACCCAGAAAUUCACAAGAUUGAAUCAUAUGAUCCCAGAUACUGAUCUCUAAGUUUCUCAGUGUCAGAAUACAAAGUGUCUCAUAUUGUGACUGAUCCCAGACACCAGCUGUGUCUGAUCCCAGACACCAGCUGUGUCUGAUCCCAGACACCAGCUGUGUCGGCCUCCACAACACCCAAGACACCAGCUGUGACUGUCACCACAACACCCAAGACACCAGCUGUGUCGGCCUCCACAACACCCAAGACACCAGUUGUGACUGUCACCACAACACCCAAGACACCAGCUGUGUCUGUCACCACAACACCCAAGACACCAGCUGUGUCUGCCACCACAACACCCAAGACACCAGCUGUGUCUGUCACCACAACACCCAAGACACCAGCUGCCUUCACUCGUCAACUCUCCAGAACGCUACAUACCCAAAACACUUUCCUUAAUGUGAAUAUUCAGCACACGUUCAAUACCCUUCCUCCUUUUCCUUCAUAGUUGGGUACUCAAUGACUCUCCUUCGCGCCUAGUGCCUCUGGUGUCCCGUCAACAAUCCACCUCACUCUACGGAGCCAAGUUUCACCCCAGUUACUCUUUGGGGAAAGUUCAGGAGACCCAUUUCUCGAAAGAAGCAUUCUUUCAAUCAAUAUUUUUAGGUUGUCCUCCUGUUUAGUGUCGUUGGUCUAUUUUUACGACUAAUUUGUUGUUUCCAUUGUGAAGUGGAGGUGUUUGAGGUGUUUAUAAGAGUUUAAGGAUGUCUCCGCUUUCAGUCACCAUCUUCUAUAUGAUGUUUUAGGCGUUUGAAAUGCUUCGAUGAAUAUAGACUUCCAGGAGUGUGGCUCUGGGCCGGAGUGGAAGGACACUGGUGACUCUGGCUCCGUCAAAGUCCAGUGGGCAAUGGGGUCAGGGGGGCAUCUGAGAGGUGAGUCAAGUACAUAAAGAAUUCAUUUGUAUUGUAGUACAAAUUUGCUUUCUUCGGUAAUCAGCAUUUGUCACGCUUAAAUAUAAGUUAUUCAGUAAUAUUUAUAUGCACGGUAAUAUAUUAUCUAGAGAUAAUAUGGAAACAAUAAUUAUUCCAGCUAAAAUUCUCACGCGUUCUAUUUAGCGAUGUUAAAAUAUUAUAGUCUGGCAUAAAAAUACCUUUAUUUAACCGUUUUCUCUAGACAACACCACACAUACCACCUUCACGAUCCUCAGGCGGGUCACAGGAAAUAGUGUGAAGAUAAUAUUUUGCUGAAUGAUGGCUUUAUCUUGUACCACUCUUACAGCACAUGUCGGACUUCACACUCCUGUGAUGUUAUAAAAAAUGUCGGCACGGCCUGCUCCCACACUCCGGUCCACAGGGGAGAAAACCCGAAGACGUUUGGCUCGACUUUCGAAGUGCAGCCUACUUGGAGUUCGAGGAAGUGCAGCCUACUUGGAGUUCGAGGAAGUGCAGCCUACUUGAUGCUCCAGGAAGUGCAUCCUACUUGGAGUUCAAGGAAGUUCUGCCCGAAACGCUUUGCGUAAUAGUGGCUUUAGGCAUUGUAUGUACUAGCUCUAUCUAUAAAGCCAACAAACUUUGACAAAGUGCAGCCUACUUGGAGUUCGAGGAUAGCGUGACUGCCAGCGACCGGGCUAUCAGCUGUAGACACUUGUGAGCUCUUGUGAUGCUCGAAGCCUCUUCUUCAACGCCUUCUGCAAGUGUCGAAACGCAUGUAGUGAAAAAAUGUUGCAGGAAGGGACGUGGAGUGACGGGGAGAGAUCCAUACCAUCUGCCACCGUCACCUGCUGUCACCUCCGUCACCACCGUCACCUAACUUCUGUCUUCCAGGGACGUGACGUUUGCUCCUCCCUGAGUGACACGCGCCGCCACGGACAAUAUUCCACACAUGACCGGCACUUUUAAGAAGCUUCUGCAUGACACAUAUCUCUGUGACAAUCACGUGUCACGAUGCUACAGACACAUUACGUGUUUAUAUAAACAUCACGGAACACAUGUAUCAUAUGACAUAUUUAUUAAGUAAUAACCUGAUGAUUGAUGCUUUGCUCAUAUUAACAUAAUAAUGUUUUGUGAA